rnacentral:rRNA from 1 species
GACGAACGCUGGCGGCGUGCUUAACACAUGCAAGUCGAACGGAAAGGCCCUGCUUUUGUGGGGUGCUCGAGUGGCGAACGGGUGAGUAACACGUGAGUAACCUGCCCUUGACUUUGGGAUAACUCCAGGAAACUGGGGCGAAUACCGGAUAGGAGCUCUUGCUGCACGGUGGGGGUUGGAAAGUUUCGGUGGUUGGGGAUGGUCUCGCGGCUUAUCAGCUUGUUGGUGGGGUAGUGGCUUACCAAGGCUUUGACGGGUAGCCCGCCUGAGAGGGUGACCGGCCACCUUGGGACUGAGAUACGGCCCAGACUCCUACGGGAGGCAGCAGUGGGGAAUAUUGCACAAUGGGCGGAAGCCUGAUGCAGCAACGCCGCGUGCGGGAUGACGGCCUUCGGGUUGUAAACCGCUUUCGCCUGUGACGAAGCGUGAGUGACGGUAAUGGGUAAAGAAGCACCGGCUAACUACGUG